UACGUAGGGGGCAAGCGUUGUCCGGAAUCAUUGGGCGUAAAGAGCGUGUAGGCGGCUCGGUAAGUCCGCUGUGAAAGUCCAGGGCUCAACCCUGGAAAGCCGGUGGAAACUGUUGAGCUUGAGUCCGGAAGAGGCGAGUGGAAUUCCUGGUGUAGCGGUGAAAUGCGCAGAUAUCAGGAGGAACACCAAUGGCGAAGGCAGCUCGCUGGGACGGUACUGACGCUGAGACGCGAAAGCGUGGGGAGCAAACAGG
rnacentral:rRNA from 1 species